AACGAACGCUGGCGGCAGGCUUAACACAUGCAAGUCGAGCGAGACCUUCGGGUCUAGCGGCGGACGGGUGAGUAACGCGUGGGAACGUGCCCUUCUCUACGGAAUAGCCCCGGGAAACUGGGAGUAAUACCGUAUACGCCCUUUGGGGGAAAGAUUUAUCGGAGAAGGAUCGGCCCGCGUUGGAUUAGGUAGUUGGUGGGGUAAUGGCCCACCAAGCCGACGUUCCAUAGCUGGUUUGAGAGGAUGAUCAGCCACACUGGGACUGAGACACGGCCCAGACUCCUACGGGAGGCAGCAGUGGGGAAUCUUAGGCAAUGGGGGCAACCCUGAUCUAGCCAUGCCGCGUGAGUGAUGAAGGCCUUAGGGUUGUAAAGCUCUUUCAGCUGGGAAGAUAAUGACGGUACCAGCAGAAGAAGCCCCGGCUAACUCCGUG
rnacentral:rRNA from 1 species